rnacentral:sRNA from 1 species
GGCAGGCCGCGAAAGAGCGACGUGUAGAAGGUGGCGAGACCGUAGAUCACACCGUUCUUCGACAGUUUCGCAAUUGCGCCCACAAGCGCGAUGACGGUCGCGACAGCGAUCGAGAUCACCGAAAUGUAGAGCGUGGUGACGACGCCCUGCGAGAUCAGGAAGCUGAGCUUCUUGGCGAUAAAGGCAAAGGAAAGAUUGAAGGAAUAGAAGAAGAGCAUCAGGAGCGCGA